GCGGUAAUACGGAGGGUGCGAGCGUUAAUCGGAAUUACUGGGCGUAAAGCGCAUGCAGGUGGUUUGUUAAGUCAGAUGUGAAAGACCCGGGGCGUCAACCUACGGAAUAGCAUUUGUAAACUAGGCAGACUAGAGUACUGUAGAGGGGGGUAGGAAUUUCAGGUGUAGCGGUGAAAUGCGUAGAGAUCUGAAGGAAUACCGGUGGCGAAGGCGGCCCCCUCGGACAGAUACUGACACUCAGAUGCGAAAGCGUGGGGAGCAAACAGGAUUAGAUACCCUGGUAG
rnacentral:rRNA from 1 species